UACGAAGGGGGCUAGCGUUGCUCGGAAUUACUGGGCGUAAAGGGCGCGUAGGCGGGUCGUUAAGUUGGGGGUGAAAGCCCAGGGCUCAACCCUGGAAUUGCCUCAAUACUGGCGACCUUGAGUAUGGCAGAGGUAUGUGGAACUCCGAGUGUAGAGGUGAAAUUCGUAGAUAUCGGAAGGAACACCAGUGGCGAAGGCGGCUACCUGGCCUAAUACUGACACUGAGGCACGAAAGCGUGGGGAGCAAACAGG
rnacentral:rRNA from 1 species